rnacentral:rRNA from 1 species
AUUGAACGCUGGCGGCAUGCCUUACACAUGCAAGUCGAGCGGUAACAGGUCUUCGGAUGCUGACGAGUGGCGAACGGGUGAGUAUACAUCGGAACGUGCCCGAGAGUGGGGGAUAACGAGGCGAAAGCUUUGCUAAUACCGCAUACGAUCUCAGGAUGAAACCAGGGGAUCGCAAGGCCUUGCGCUCACGGAGCGGCCGAUGGCAGAUUAGGUAGUUGGUGGGAUAAAAGCUUACCAAGCCGACGAUCUGUAGCUGGUCUGAGAGGACGACCAGCCACACUGGGACUGAGACACGGCCCAGACUCCUACGGGAGGCAGCAGUGGGGAAUUUUGGACAAUGGGCGCAAGCCUGAUCCAGCCAUGCCGCGUGCAGGAUGAAGGCCUUCGGGUUGUAAACUGCUUUUGUACGGAACGAAAAGACUCCUUCUAAUAAAGGGGGUCCAUGACGGUACCGUAAGAAUAAGCACCGGCUAACUACGUGCCAGCAGCCGCGGUAA